UCCGAUCCAUGGAGCCUUCCUGCCAUCAAACACAGUGCUGUUCCAAUAGAGCAUCCUUUAAUUCUCUGGUUCUUCCUGUUAAUCUUCAGAUACCUGAACCUCACUUCAUGUUUGAUGUUCAUUGACAGAGGUGAUGUGAAGCUGCACAUCCCUCUCCAGGAGCAGAAAGGAGAUUAGAGUAGAUUCAGUCUGCAAACUGUCUGUUGAGUGAAGGGGAGAGAUGUGCCCAUGCCCACAUGGACCUGCUGCAAGAGGACAUUUUGCUCAUUCCUUCUAUUUCAUUUCUCCUCACAUCCUUCUCUGGCCUAGGAAAUUUGACUUCAUCUCCUGUAGUGUUUGAACACCUGUAUCCUUUCCUCGGCUGCUGGGUGUCACUAUAUUCCCUGAACUGAAGGGAUUCUAUUAGAGAUGUCAGAGGACAUGGAUUUGGCAGUGGUAAGGCCUGAUAAUAAAACCAUUAUAAAUCAGAUUUUGUAAUCCAUUGCUGGAUAUCUAGAUCCCAGGAUGGACUCAAAUAUGCAUGUGAAUAUUUAAGAAAACAUUCCACAUAACUGUAGCAUAGAAAUAACUUCCUUCAAAAUCCUGAGCACUGAAAUGUUUGCAAUUGCCUGUGUAGUAUGUACUAUUCUGAUCAUUAAAUUCUGCUCUGUGCUAGUUCUCAA